UGUCAGCUAGUCUGUAGGGGUCUGACCUGGGGUCAGAAGUCUCGGAUCAAAGGUGAAUCAUAGCUGGGGGUCAGGCGUGGGGUGUCACCGGCUCCCCCCACUCUGCAGCGCUGCCGGGAACUGCGGAACUUCUCCUCGCUGCGCGCGAUCCUGUCCGCCCUGCAGUCUAACCCCAUAUACCGGCUCAAGCGGAGCUGGGGCGCCGUCAGCAGGGAACGGUUAUCCACUUUCAGAAAACUUUCGCAGAUUUUCUCCGAUGAGAACAACCAUCUCAGCAGUAGAGAGAUUCUUUCCCAGGAGGAGGCCACCGAGGGCCCCCAAGAGGAGGACACCCUCCCAGGAAGCCUGCCCCCAAAACUGCCCCCAGGCCCUGUCCCCUACCUUGGCACCUUUCUCACGGACCUGGUUAUGCUGGACACAGCCCUGCCGGACAUGCUGGAGGUCUGACCCCUGACCCUUGACUCCUGACCCCAGCCUCUCCUGACAUCCCACCCUUGACCCUGCCCACACUCCCUACCCCAGCCCCCACUCCCUGCCCCAGGCCCCUUAGUGCAAUGGGACUCCUGACAUCCCAGCCCCUGACCUUGACCCUCAGUCCUUGAUUCUGGAGGCUCCAGUUCAGACAAACUUUGCCCCCAGGGAGAUCUCAUCAACUUUGAGAAGAGGAGGAAGGUGAGUG